GACGAACGCUGGCGGCGUGCUUAACACAUGCAAGUCGAACGGAAAGGCCCUGCUUUUGUGGGGUGCUCGAGUGGCGAACGGGUGAGUAACACGUGAGUGACCUGCCCUUGACUUUGGGAUAACUCCGGGAAACUGGGGCUAAUACCGGAUAGGAGCACCUGCUGCAUGGUGUGGGUGGGAGAGUUUCGGCGUUUGGGGAUGGAGCGGCGGCUCAGCAGCUUGUUGGUGGGGUGGUGGCUUACAAAGUCUUCGAGGGGUAGCCGCCUGGGGGGGGUGACCGGCAACAUUGGGCCUAGGAAAGGGCCCGGCCGCCACCGGGGGCCAGAGGUGGGGAAUUUUGAAAAAUGGGCGGAGGCCGAAUGCAGGAACGCCGCGUGCGGAAUGCCGGCUUUCGGUUUGUAACCCCCUUUCGCCUGGAACGAACCGUGAGUGACGGUAAUUGGUAAAGAAGCACCGGCUAACUACGUG
rnacentral:rRNA from 1 species